GGGGGCGUCUGGUCUCGACGGGGCAGAUGGGCUUCGGGAUUGCGAGCCGAGAGCCGCGUGCGUUACAGCGCAGCGUUUACAAACGCCAACAAGAACACCGCUUUCGCCCUCGCUGCGUAAGCAGUAGAGACGUAAGUCUCCGGUCAGUCCGGCGGACUGGAGAACGGCGUCACAUAGACCGGAUUGCCGCCUCGGGGGCGCCGCGGCUCCGAGGCGGGACACCCACCGCGGCUGGCUGAAGCGGAUCCCGUCGGGAGGAGCCGCCAGGCGAGAACCAAAAUCCUGGACACGCUCGUAGAGAUCCCGGGGGACGCUGCUUCGGACGCGGGUUCAAUUCCCGCCGCCUCCACCA
rnacentral:tmRNA from 1 species